AUCGUGCAGCACUGUAGAUAAAUUAGAGAGAAGGCAACAGAUACAUGGGUCUGCCAUUUUCACUUUAUCUUUUAAUUAUGGUGCUGUUUGAUUUCUUUCUCAUAAAGAAACUGCAUGGCAUAAUUCAGUCUUGGCGAAUGCAGCACAGCCCCAUCUUUAAGCAGGCUACUGUACAAAAUUUUUGUAGAGCAGGCAGGGCUGCGAAAAAAAAAAGAGCUUGAUUGAAGCUGCAAAUGCAGGAUGUUUUUGCCCCAUUGUGUGUAUCAGAAGAUGCUCAGCUUAGACACAUAAUAAAAAUUACUGGAGAAAUUAGUCAUACCAAUAGAGAAUAAUUAUACUCAGCAGGGGUGUGUGUUACCUUGGAAACGGUUUUUAUCUGUUUCUUUGUUGAUGCAACCACAUAAUUCUGUAUAACAUGGAAAAAUCUCUGCUCGAAAUUUGUCACUUGAGUUGUAAUUCGCACAGGGCUUGCUUCAUCGUACAUUUACCAUGCAGCAGAAAGUUUCUUUUUAUUUGCUGCAUUGUAUAAAACAUGGCUAGAACUGUACAUGGACUGCACUUGCAUGUGUGGCAUCAACAAACCCACACAAGAAACAGAGUGAUAAAUAUCUGUUUAUUUUAAGGUACACAAGAAUGUCACAUUCUACUUUGAUGCUGACAGCUUCAGCAAAGAAAAACAGAGUACUCCAAAGGUAGAGGAGCCCGCCCCAAUCACGGAACGACGUUAAAGACAAAGGCCCUUGUCUGCGUACUCUGAAAGACUGAAGAACCUUGUCUCCUUUCUCUGCUGAUGUCGGCACUACGUGGAAGCUCUUGUGGCACUUAUGGAUUUUAAGGGGUGUGCUGAAUCCACGGGAGAAGCAAUAAAAUGUGCCGUGGACCAACGCGACGCAGAUCGAGCAGUGAAAAAUAAACUUGCUUUGCCAGUGAGCACAACGAAAGGUAUCUCCCGCAUCUAGAAAGGAAGAUCGACGGCCGCACGUGAGUGAUUCUUCAGGUUCUCUAAUAAAUUGAUCACCAGUGUGCCUGAUUACGACUCUGUCAUCUGAAGUUUGAACUGAACCUAAAUGUCCAGAUGUUUAAUGGAUGUGUGGCAUCUGCUGUGAAAUAAUGCUCGAGGAUUUGGUCACAAGGUCACACAGCAUCUUUUCCAAUAAAUAUAUCCCAAAUUCUC